rnacentral:rRNA from 1 species
AGGAAUUUUGCGCAAUGGGGGAAACCCUGACGCAGCAACGCCGCGUGAGUGAUGAAGGCCUUAGGGUCGUAAAACUCUGUCAAGUGGAAAGAACCUGCAAAGUGCUAAUAUCACUUUGCACUGACGGUACCAC